UCAAAUGAAAUCAUGAAUUGGUUCCCGGUAGUGAGGGGUCAGUUUUGAUAGUGUUGGUAGUGCUCCUAGUCUUUAGGAAGAGAUAGUUUCUCCAAUAUCCUUUAAGUAGAAGACUAAGUUCCAAAUAUAGGGAGGAGAGAAAAAGGAGAAAGAUGGGACGUAAAAAAUAGUAUUGUACAUUGUCACAUACAAACGGGUACAUCGAGAUUGGAGGAAAAGGAAUUUGAAUGCUAAAAGGGCACAACCAACAAAGCAAGCAGUAAACAAAGGCACCAGUACAUCAAUUAGGAGACAUCCUAAACCGUACAGAUUCUUAGUAGCUACCGCGAGACCACCAUGAAGUGUCAGAAAACCUUGUCGGCGUAGUGACCGAAGAAGAAGAAGAAGAAGGAGUUAUCUUCGGCGAGUUAUUCGUCCCGCGACGGGACCACCUUCCUCAUCAUACGGCCAGCCAGAACCGCGACACCUUCAUCUAAACCGCGUCCAAGCAGUGACGCAUUCAUCUUCACCGAGAAAGCCACGAGUGGCGGGGCUGUUAUCGCUAAACAGUGGUGAGGUGAUCGGGUUUUCCGAAUCCGUGAACCUAGGGUCACCACCGUGAAAGGUGAUGUGCCUUCCACCAGUUCCAGCCGCUAGACCAUGCUCCGGUGACCCACAAUACCUCUGGAUGGCCACCAUAGAAGAAGGAAGAGAGCCUCAUAACCCUGCUAUUUCGUUCCGUCGUGCCAUCACCGUGAAAGUCGCUGGUCGUCGCUGAGAUUGGUGUUGUAUUUAGGGAUUUCAUUCCCUUUAGUAGUUGAAGCCAUCGAGGGUAACACGGUUACCCCUUUCUUUUUAAUGCUUAUUUCAUUCUCUAUUUUUUAGUUUUCUUCAUUUAGUUUAUUUGUUGCAAUUUCUUUUUAAUUUAUUUUCAUGGC
rnacentral:lncRNA from 1 species